ensembl:lncRNA
AUGAGAGUCUGGAUUUUAAACAUUCCCAUUUUUCAGAGUUGUUUGUAUUUGGACAGUGGUUUCUGACCUUUUUUGAUUUUCCCAUAUAGGAAUAUACUGUCCAUUGAUUCAUGAGGAAAAGGAGCAGUAACAAGCAGCUUAACUGAGAGACCAGUGACAGAGAGUGACCAGUGUAAUGUACCAGGCUGAGAUUUUAAAGAUUGAGAGAAGCAUCUUGGCAUCUGCUGAAGUCCUCCUCUUGGGCUGUGACCUCUUUUCUGUCCCAAACAUCAUCACAGCCUUUCCUUGAGCGUUUUCCCUGUACAAACCUGCAAGAGAGCCUCUCUAACAUGGUAAGCUUCAAGUGUAAAUGGGAAAAAUGCUGAUUUCAGGCUCAUGUGUGCACCAAGCUGGUUAUGGAGAGACACAUUAACCCCAACUCGUGCAUGCAGAAAGGAUGUGUGUCAUCUCUCCAGGUGUAAAGAGAACUUUAAUAGAGCAUCCAAGGGGAGAAAGGAAGGCAAAGCAGGCUUAACAGUGGAAGAGCUUGAGUUUUAUUUCAGAACCGUGGAGGAAAAGGAAACACUCUUUAGUGUUUGA